rnacentral:rRNA from 1 species
AGUGAACGCUGGCGGUAGGCCUAACACAUGCAAGUCGAACGGCAGCACAGUAAGAGCUUGCUCUUACGGGUGGCGAGUGGCGGACGGGUGAGGAAUACAUCGGAAUCUACUUUUUCGUGGGGGAUAACGUGGGGAAACUAACGCUAAUACCGCAUACGACCUACGGGUGAAAGCAGGGGAUUUUGGGACCUUGCGCGAUUGAAUGAGCCGAUGUCGGAUUAGCUAGUUGGCGGGGUAAAGGCCCACCAAGGCGACGAUCCGUAGCUGGUCUGAGAGGAUGAUCAGCCACACUGGAACUGAGACACGGUCCAGACUCCUACGGGAGGCAGCAGUGGGGAAUAUUGGACAAUGGGCGCAAGCCUGAUCCAGCCAUACCGCGUGGGUGAAGAAGGCCUUCGGGUUGUAAAGCCCUUUUGUUGGGAAAGAAAAGCAGCAGGUUAAUACCCCGCUGUUCUGACGGUACCCAAAGAAUAAGCACCGGCUAACUUCGUG